rnacentral:rRNA from 1 species
ACACAUGCAAGUCGGCUGCGAGCGGUAUUNUCGGAGCGCAAGUAGCAUGGCAGACGGGUGAUGAGCACGUACCUGACCUGGCUCUUAGUGGGGGAUAGGAGGGGGAGAGAGGGUUGAAUACCGCAUACGCUCAGGAGGGCGACCUUCUGAGGAAAGCUGGCCUCUGCCGAUGCAUGCUGGUGUUGAGAGGGGGGGGUGCGGCCUAUUAGCUAGUUGGUAGGGUAAGAGCCUACCAAUGCGACGAUUGGUAGCUGGUCUGAGAGGAUGAUCAGCCACACUGGGACUGAGAGAGGGCCCAGACUCCUACGGGAGGCAGCAGUGGGGAAUUUUGCGCAAUGGGGGCAACCCUGACGCAGCAACGCCGUGUGAGUGAGGACGCCUUUCGGGGUGUAAAGCUCUGUCAGCAGGGACGAACGUGUCGCGUAGAAGAUGCGCGGGCAUUGACGGUACCUGGUGAGGAAGCCCCGGCUAACUCCGUGCCAGCAGCCGCGGUAAGACGGAGGGGGCAAGCGUUGUUCGGAAUUACCUGGGCGUAAAGCGCGCGUAAGCGGCGAGACAAGUGCCGAGUGAAAGCCCUCGGGUUAACCGAGGAAGGGCUUGGCA